GUGAGGAAUAUUGGUCAAUGGGCGAGAGCCUGAACCAGCCAAGUAGCGUGCAGGAUGACGGCCCUAUGGGUUGUAAACUGCUUUUACACGGGGAUAAAGUGUGCGACGUGUCGUUCAUUGCAGGUACCGUGCGAAUAAGGACCGGCUAAUUCCGUGCCAGCAGCCGCGGUAAUACGGAAGGUCCGGGCGUUAUCCGGAUUUAUUGGGUUUAAAGGGAGCGUAGGCCGUCUGUUAAGCGUGUUGUGAAAUGUAGAUGCUCAACAUCUGAAUUGCAGCGCGAACUGACCGACUUGAGUGCGCAGGAAGUAGGCGGAAUUCGUGGUGUAGCGGUGAAAUGCAUAGAUAUCACGCAGAACUCCGAUUGCGAAGGCAGCUUACUAAGCUACAACUGACACUGAAGCACGAAAGCGUGGGUAGCAAACAGGAUUAGAAACCCUGGUAGUCC
rnacentral:rRNA from 1 species